rnacentral:rRNA from 1 species
GAGUUUGAUCCUGGCUCAGGACUAACGCUGGCGGCGUGCCUAACACAUGCAAGUCGAACGAGAGUAGCAAUACUCUAGUGGCAGACGGGUGAGUAACACGUGGUCAACCUACCUCUAUGUGGGGGAUAACUAGCCGAAAGGUUAGCUAAUACCGCAUACGAUCGUCGAGCGGCAUCGCUUGACGAUGAAAGGAGCAAUCCGCAGAGAGACGGGACCGCGUCCCAUUAGCUAGUCGGUGGGGUAAUGGCCUACCAAGGCGACGAUGGGUAGCUGGCUUGAGAGAGCGACCAGCCACACUGGGACUGAGACACGGCCCAGACUCCUACGGGAGGCAGCAGUGAGGAAUUUUCCGCAAUGGGCGAAAGCCUGACGGAGCGACGCCGCGUGUGGGAAGAAGGCCUCGGUCGUAACCACUGUCGAAGGGAAGAUAUUGACGGUACCCUUGGUAGGAAGCCCGGCGUAACUACGUGCCAGCCGCCGCUGUAAC